GACGAACCGUGCGAACGUUAUUCGGAAUCACUGGGCUUAAAGGGCGCGUAGGCGGGCCACCAAGUCAGGGGUGAAAUCCCACGGCUCAACCGUGGAAGUGCCCUUGAUACUGGUGGCCUCGAGGGAGGCAGGGGCGUGCGGAACUUUGGGUGGAGCGGUGAAAUGCGUAGAUAUCCAAAGGAACACCGGUGGCGAAGGCGGUUCUCUGGGCCUGUACUGACGCUGAGGUGCGAAAGCGUGGGGAGCAAACAGG
rnacentral:rRNA from 1 species